CAUAACGUUAAACUAAGCACCAUUCUCAUCCAAAAAUAAUACUUAAGAAUUUAAGUUGAUAAGAGAAAAAUUCAAAUUUUAGUUAUGCAUCUGAUAUGUAUAGGGUGUAACUUGAGGAGGCAAAUGGGCGAUUGGUGAUUCCAGGUACGACAACACUAAAUAAUAUCGAAAUUCUUUAAUGAUAGUAUAUUAGUUUUUGUACUCUGUGUUAUAUUUAUUAUUAUGUGUAUUAAGUACCACAAAUAAAAUGGGCUGACGCGAUGGUCUCAGACGGACAGAUGUCAACACAACAUCGCCAUCGCCUGGAGACAUGACCGUCCUUCUCUUCAAUUUUGAACACACGAUAGCAACGCGAGUUAAGUAGGAUGAAUUUUUUUUAAAUAUUUAAAUUUAAAAUUUAUGUUAUCUGUGGUUUAAAAAUAAUUUUUGUUUGUUUCGCAUAACCUAAGUUUUACAUUUAAUGUUGUUUAUAUAAUAUUUACUUAUUACAGAUUAUGAGUUGUUUAUAAUAUUGUAGCGAUAAAAUAAAAUGGACGACGUUAUGUUAUCGAACACGUAAAUUUAUUAUCAAAAAUAGAUUUUGUAUUUACUCACUAUUGAUGUUUGGGAGAUAGUACUACCGCGAGAAAUGUAUUAUAUUAUGAAAACACUUUUAUCAAAUUUGGGGAAUAUGCUAUAUGAAACCAAUAUUAUUAUAUAAUUUUCAAACGUUUCUGCAAAAUUUACAUAUAUGCUUAAAUAAAUUCACCAAAAACACUCUUCAAUAAUUUGAAUUUCUACUACCGAAAGAACUUCGAUUUACCACUCAAUUUAUCCGGAUAUCAUUCAUGUAUGCUGUUGGAUGAUCCCUCCAUUAGAUGUUGGAUUUUAAUUCAGAAACCAAGCUUAAAGUGGCGCGUAACUACACAUGAACAUCUGUCACAUGAAUUUACUUAAAAUCGUAACUGUUUUAGAAAAGUAAGACCGCAAAAACUAAUGCCAUACUUAGUAGAACUAAAUGUGAAUUGUAAUAAUUAUAGAUUAGAAUGAUAACAAUUUUUAUUUAAUAAUUAAUUCCCAGAUUACAGAUUGCCGAUUUUUAGCACUCCACGGGGACCGCUUGUUGAUCCAUCUGGUGUUGCUGUAUUGUUGUUUUAAAAUUUCCAAGAUAUUUUCUAGCUUUCUUGAAAAAAUGCCCAAAAAUGAAAUCGAUGUUCCUUUAUGUAGUCAAUAAAUUAAUUCAGUUGUUAUAAAAAAAA